rnacentral:rRNA from 1 species
UGGGGAAUAUUGCACAAUGGGCGAAAGCCUGAUGCAGCGACGCCGCGUGAGGGAUGACGGCCUUCGGGUUGUAAACCUCUUUCAGCAGGGAAGAAGCCACAAGUGACGGUACCUGCAGAAGAAGCGCCGGCUAACUACGUGCCAGCAGCCGCGGUAAUACGUAGGGCGCAAGCGGUGUCCGGAAUUAUUGGGCGUAAAGAGCUCGUAGGCGGUUUGUCGCGUCUGCUGUGAAAGCCCGGGGCUUAACCCCGGGUGUGCAGUGGGUACGGGCAGACUAGAGUGCAGUAGGGGAGACUGGAAUUCCUGGUGUAGCGGUGGAAUGCGCAGAUAUCAGGAGGAACACCGAUGGCGAAGGCAGGUCUCUGGGCUGUUACUGACGCUGAGGAGCGAAAGCAUGGGGAGCGAACA